rnacentral:rRNA from 1 species
AGUGAACGCUGGCGGUAGGCCUAACACAUGCAAGUCGAACGGCAGCACAGUAAGAGCUUGCUCUUACGGGUGGCGAGUGGCGGACGGGUGAGGAAUACAUCGGAAUCUACUUUUUCGUGGGGGAUAAAGUAGGGAAACUUACGCUAAUACCGCAUACGAUCUACGGGUGAAAGCAGGGGAUCUUCGGACCUUGCGCGAUUGAAUGAGCCGAUGUCGGAUUAGCUAGUUGGCGGGGUAAAGGCCCACCAAGCCGACGAUCCGUAGCUGGUCUGAGAGGAUGAACAGCCACACUGGAACUGAGACACGGCCCAGACUCCUACGGGAGGCAGCAGUGGGGAAUAUUGGACAAUGGGCGCAACCCUGAUCCAGCCAUGCCGCGUGCGUGAAGAAGGCCUUCGGGUUGUAAAGCCCUUUUGUUCGGAAAGAAAAGCAGCAGGUUAAUACCCCGCUGUUCUGACGGUACCCAAAGAAUAAGCACCGGCUAACUUCGUG